rnacentral:sRNA from 1 species
UGAUGAAAUGAUAAUGCCGGAACUUUCC